GAUGAACGCUAGCGGCAGGCCUAACACAUGCAAGUCGAGGGGCAGCACAGAAACAGCAAUGUUUUGGUGGCGACCGGCGGACGGGUGCGUAACGCGUAUGCAACCUACCUUUAACAGGGGGAUAACGGAGAGAAAUUUCCACUAAUACCCCAUAACAUCGAUCAAGGCAUCUUGAUUGGUUGAAAACUCCGGUGGUUAAAGAUGGGCAUGCGUUGAAUUAGGUAGUUGGUGGGGUAAUGGCUCACCAAGCCUACGAUACAUAGGGGGACUGAGAGGUUAGCCCACCACACUGGUACUGAGACACGGACCAGACUCCUACGGGAGGCAGCAGUGAGGAAUAUUGGUCAAUGGGGGCAACCCUGAACCAGCCAUGCCGCGUGCAGGAAGACGGCUCUAUGAGUUGUAAACUGCUCUUAAACAGGGAUAAAGCACAGUAUGUAUACUGUGUUGAAGGUACUGUAAGAAUAAGGAUCGGCUAACUCCGUGCCAGCAGCCGCCGUAA
rnacentral:rRNA from 1 species